CCUGCCCUGGAGAGGGGGACAACCACUGGAAACGGUGGCUAAUACCCCAGAUGUUUAUCGGGUUAGAGUCUGAUAGACUAAAGUUCCGGCGCUCCAGAGAGGGGCCUGCGGCCCAUCAGCUAGUUGGUAGGGUAAUGGCCUACCAAGGCGAAGACGGGUAGGGGGCGUGAGAGCGUGACCCCCCACACUGGUACUGAGACACGGACCAGAUACCUGCGGGUAGCAGCAGCAAGGAAUAUUGCCCAAUGGACGAAAGUCUGAGGCAGCAACGCCGCGUGGAGGAUGAAGGCCUUCGGGUCGUAAACUCCUUUUCUGGGUGAAGAGAAAGGACGGUAGCCCAGGAAUAAGUCUCGGCUAACUACGUGCCAGCAGCCGCGGUAAAACGUAGGAGGCAAGCGUUAUCCGGAAAUAUACUGGGCGUAAAGCGCAUGCAGGCGGUUUUUUAAGUCGGACGUAAAAGCUCCCGGCUCAACUGGGAGAGGCCGUUCGAAACUGAAAGACUUGAGGAUGGUAGAGGCGAGUGGAAUUCCCGGUGUAGUGGUGAAAUGCGUAGAUAUCGGGAGGAACACCAGUGGCGAAGGCGGCUCGCUGGGCCAUUCCUGACGCUCAGAUGCGAAAGCUAGGGGAGAGAACGGGAUUAGAAACCCCGGUAUUCCUAGCCGUAAACGAUGUCAACUAGGCGUAGAUGGUUAUAAACCCCGGUCUGUGCUGCAGCUAACGCGUUAAGUUUGACCGCCUGGGGACUACGGCCGCAAGGCUAAAACUCAAAGGAAUUGACGGGGACCCGCACAAGCAGCGGAGCGUGUGGGUUUAAUUCGAGGCUACGCGAAGAACCUUACCAGGGUUUGACAUACACGUGGUAGGACGAUGAAAAUCAACCGACCCUUCGGGGAGCGUGUACAGGUGCUGCAUGGCUGUCGUCAGCUCGUGCCGUGAGGUGUUAGGUUAAGUCCUGUAACGAGCGCAACCCACGUCGCUAGUUAUAUGUGUCUAGCGAGACUGCCGGUGGUAAGCCGGAGGAAGGUGUGGAUGACGUCAAGUCAGCAUGGCCUUUAUAUCCUGGGACUACACACACGCUACAAUGGCCGGUACAAUGGGUAGCCAAGCCGUGAGGCGGAGCCAAUCCUUCAAAGCCGGUCUC
rnacentral:rRNA from 1 species